AGACCGAUAGCGAACAAGUACCGUGAGGGAAAGAUGAAAAGAACUUUGAAAAGAGAGUUAAAGAGUACCUGAAACUGCUGAAAGGGAACCGAAUCGUUUCCAGUGUCUAUAAUCCCGUGGUAUAUUUCAUUGGCGAGUGUGUGCGUGCGUGUGCUGUGGCAGCGGCUUUUUAGGCUGCGCUCGGCGUGUGUGCUGUGUGUGCUUGCUGGUGCCCUGUACUGCGGUGGGACGUCAAGGUCAGUUCGUAUGCUGCGGGAAAUGGCUGCCGAGGAGGUAGGGCUUACGCUUGCGUUUGUCUGUUAUAUCUUGGUGGACGAGUAGUCGCGGUUGGGACUGAGGUGCCUACAACGUGCUUUUGAGUGGGUUUGUGUCUCCGUGUGCGCCGUGUGCGGAUAGCUUGCUAUGCGUGUGUGGUUGUGUGUGGAUUGAUGCGGGCUUUAACUUGUUGCCGUUCGGGACGUUGACGAAAUGGAGCGAUUCGACCCGUCUUGAAACACGGACCAAG
rnacentral:rRNA from 1 species